rnacentral:tmRNA from 1 species
GGGGGCGAUUAGGAUUCGACGACGGUGACGAAACCCAAGGUGCAUGUCGAGCGCGUAGCAGCCCUCGUUAAACAAAUUGCUACAACCCUAUUAGUUGCCAACGACGACAACUACUCCGUAGCACUGGCCGCUUAAAACCGGCCCGCUACCAGUUAACCUGACUUUUCUGUUGGUUGGGACUAACUGUCAUCUUAAACAGAAUCGUUGCUUCUCGCGGGCCCAACGCGGGACAACUAAAACUCUACCGGGAUCGCUUCACAAACCCUGCCUGUUGGGUCGUGUGAAGUUAAAACAAAGACAGAUCUAAGCAUGUAGAGCCAAGGGCAGAGUGCCGGCGGACGGGGGUUCAAAUCCCCCCGCCUCCACCA